rnacentral:rRNA from 1 species
UACGGAGGGUGCAAGCGUUAUCCGGAUUCACUGGGUUUAAAGGGUGCGUAGGUGGGUUGGCAAGUCAGUGGUGAAAUCCCCGAGCUUAACUUGGGAACUGCCAUUGAUACUAUUAAUCUUGAAUACCGUGGAGGUUAGCGGAAUAUGUCAUGUAGCGGUGAAAUGCUUAGAUAUGACAUAGAACACCAAUGGCGAAGGCAGCGGGCUACACAAAUAUUGACACUGAUGCACGAAAGCGUGGGGAUCAAACAGG